rnacentral:snoRNA from 1 species
UUGAUGAUGAGCCCAUUUUCUUUGCUGAUCGCCAAUAUGCUGACAAAUGUCCCAGCCAAUCUGAGG